AUAGUAUUUCCUCUGUUUCAAAUUAGUUCUCUUAGAUUUGUCUAGACACGAUUCGUAUCUAGACAUGCUAUAGUGAUAGAUACAUUUGUAUCUAGAAAAAUCUAAGACAACUAAUUUGGAACGGAGGUAAUACACA
rnacentral:pre_miRNA from 1 species